UACGUAGGUGGCAAGCGUUGUCCGGAUUUACUGGGCGUAAAGCGUAUGCAGGCGGGUUCUUAAGUAGGAAGUGAAAGGUUGGAGCUCAACUCUAACACGGCUCCCUAUACUGGGAAUCUUGAGUGCCGGAGAGGAAGACGGAACGACACGUGUAGCGGUGAAAUGCGUUGAGAUGUGUCGGAACACCAAUGGCGAAAGCAGUCUUCUGGACGGAUACUGACGCUGAGAUACGAAAGCCAAGGUAGCAAACAGG
rnacentral:rRNA from 1 species